rnacentral:rRNA from 1 species
ACUCGAAGAGUAGGGCGGGACACGUGGUAUCCUGUCUGAAUAUGGGGGGACCAUCCUCCAAGGCUAAAUACUCCUGACUGACCGAUAGUGAACCAGUACCGUGAGGGAAAGGCGAAAAGAACCCCGGCGAGGGGAGUGAAAAAGAACCUGAAACCGUGUACGUACAAGCAGUGGGAGCACCUUCGGGUGUGACUGCGUACCUUUUGUAUAAUGGGUCAGCGACUUAUAUUCUGUAGCAAGGUUAACCGUAUAGGGGAGCCGCAGGGAAACCGAGUCUUAACUGGGCGUUAAGUUGCAGGGUAUAGACCCGAAACCCGGUGAUCUAGCCAUGGGCAGGUUGAAGGUUGGGUAACACUAACUGGAGGACCGAACCGACUAAUGUUGAAAAAUUAGCGGAUGACUUGUGGCUGGGGGUGAAAGGCCAAUCAAACCGGGAGAUAGCUGGUUCUCCCCGAAAGCUAUUUAGGUAGCGCCUCGUGAACUCAUCUUCGGGGGUAGAGCACUGUUUCGGCUAGGGGGUCAUCCCGACUUACCAACCCGAUGCAAACUACGAAUACCGAAGAAUGUUAUCACGGGAGACACACGGCGGGUGCUAACGUCCGUCGUGAAGAGGGAAACAACCCAGACCGCCAGCUAAGGUCCCAAAGUCAUGGUUAAGUGGGAAACGAUGUGGGAAGGCACAGACAGCCAGGAUGUUGGCUUAGAAGCAGCCAUCAUUUAAAGAAAGCGUAAUAGCUCACUGGUCGAGUCGGCCUGCGCGGAAGAUGUAACGGGGCUAAACCAUGCACCGAAGCUGCGGCAGCGACACUAUGUGUUGUUGGGUAGGGGAGCGUUCUGUAAGCCUGCGAAGGUGUGCUGUGAGGCAUGCUGGAGGUAUCAGAAGUGCGAAUGCUGACAUAAGUAACGAUAAAGCGGGUGAAAAGCCCGCUCGCCGGAAGACCAAGGGUUCCUGUCCAACGUUAAUCGGGGCAGGGUGAGUCGACCCCUAAGGCGAGGCCGAAAGGCGUAGUCGAUGGGAAACAGGUUAAUAUUCCUGUACUUGGUGUUACUGCGAAGGGGGGACGGAGAAGGCUAUGUUAGCCGGGCGACGGUUGUCCCGGUUUAAGCAUGUAGGCUGAUUGUCCAGGCAAAUCCGGAUAAUCAAGGCUGAGGUGUGAUGACGAGGCACUACGGUGCUGAAGUAACAAAUGCCCUGCUUCCAGGAAAAGCCUCUAAGCAUCAGGUAACAUUAAAUCGUACCCCAAACCGACACAGGUGGUCAGGUAGAGAAUACCAAGGCGCUUGAGAGAACUCGGGUGAAGGAACUAGGCAAAAUGGUGCCGUAACUUCGGGAGAAGGCACGCUGGUGUGUAGGUGAAGUCCCUGCGGAUGGAGCUGAGACCAGUCGAAGAUACCAGCUGGCUGCAACUGUUUAUUAAAAACACAGCACUGUGCAAACACGAAAGUGGACGUAUACGGUGUGACGCCUGCCCGGUGCCGGAAGGUUAAUUGAUGGGGUUAUCCGUAAGGAGAAGCUCUUGAUCGAAGCCCCGGUAAACGGCGGCCGUAACUAUAACGGUCCUAAGGUAGCGAAAUUCCUUGUCGGGUAAGUUCCGACCUGCACGAAUGGCGUAAUGAUGGCCAGGCUGUCUCCACCCGAGACUCAGUGAAAUUGAACUCGCUGUGAAGAUGCAGUGUACCCGCGGCAAGACGGAAAGACCCCGUGAACCUUUACUAUAGCUUGACACUGAACAUUGAGCCUUGAUGUGUAGGAUAGGUGGGAGGCUUUGAAGCGUGGACGCCAGUCUGCGUGGAGCCAACCUUGAAAUACCACCCUUUAAUGUUUGAUGUUCUAACGUUGGCCCCUGACCGGGGUUGCGGACAGUGUCUGGUGGGUAGUUUGACUGGGGCGGUCUCCUCCCAAAGCGUAACGGAGGAGCACGAAGGUUAGCUAAUCCUGGUCGGACAUCAGGAGGUUAGUGCAAUGGCAUAAGCUAGCUUGACUGCGAGCGUGACGGCGCGAGCAGGUGCGAAAGCAGGUCAUAGUGAUCCGGUGGUUCUGAAUGGAAGGGCCAUCGCUCAACGGAUAAAAGGUACUCCGGGGAUAACAGGCUGAUACCGCCCAAGAGUUCAUAUCGACGGCGGUGUUUGGCACCUCGAUGUCGGCUCAUCACAUCCUGGGGCUGAAGUAGGUCCCAAGGGUAUGGCUGUUCGCCAUUUAAAGUGGUACGCGAGCUGGGUUUAGAACGUCGUGAGACAGUUCGGUCCCUAUCUGCCGUGGGCGCUGGAGAAUUGAGGGGGGCUGCUCCUAGUACGAGAGGACCGGAGUGGACGCAUCACUGGUGUUCGGGUUGUCAUGCCAAUGGCACUGCCCGGUAGCUAAAUGCGGAAGAGAUAAGUGCUGAAAGCAUCUAAGCACGAAACUUGCCCCGAGAUGAGUUCU